rnacentral:rRNA from 1 species
CGUUCCCGGGCCUUGUACACACCGCCCGUCACACCACGAAAGUUGGUAACACCCGAAGCCGGUGGCCUAACCGCAAGGAGGGAGCCGUCGAAGGUGGGAUCAGCGAUUGGGGUG